AUGGCCAUGGUACCUCUGAAGAUGAGAAGGCUGAGAUGAAAUUGCUCUGAUUCCUUGUCCUUUUCCACAGAGGGACAGAGAUUUCUUCCCCAAAUUGGCCAAGGAUUCAUCAUAUUAGCAGUUCCUGCAGGUUGUGAAUUCAGACUGUACUGCUCUGGUUCAAGGUCCUCUCAUGAGACUGAGUUGAUGCUGCAUCAUCCAAAGCCUCCCUAUAGCUGGAGGAUCACCUUCCAAGAUGGCUCAGCCAUAUGACUUCUGUUGGCAUCAGCCACUGUCCAGGCCACUAGCUGCUCUCCAUAUGCAGACAAUGAGACCUGUCACCUCACAUGCCUGCUGCCGUGCCUCCCCCUGCUCACCCUACUGAGGCCAGCAUGCUGGUCUUCUGGAGUUGGAGAGAGAGAGAGAGAGAGUCUGGUGAUGUCCCAGCAGAUGGCUCAACGAAUGAAGUCUGAGAGAAAAGAGAGGUAUACAGAAAGAGGAUCCUAGGGAUCUAGAGAGAGAAAAAUUGAUCCAAAUACUAAACAUAGCAUGCAAACCACAUGAGUGGAUCUGAGAGAAAUGAGGGAAAUUGUCCCUUAGCUGGUUAUCCACCCAGACAAUGUAAUCGACAGGGCACACUCUCUAGAGUACUCGGGAAGGUUUUGCCUGAGUCGUGACAAAUAUUUAGUCU